UCUGGGCCCCGCAGAGGUGUGCAGGUGUGGCUGCUGUGCCACAUAUGUGUUGUUAGUAUGUGUCAGAGAACAGAGAGAGACUAGCUCAGUAUUCUGUUCUGACUUGUGAACAUCUGAAAAAAGUCCCUGAAAAG